GAUGGACGCUGGCGGCGUGCCUAAUACAUGCGAGUCGAGCGAACGGACGAGAAGCUUGCUUCUCUGAUGUUAGCGGCGGACGGGUGAGUAACACGUGGAUAACCUACCUAUAAGACUGGGAUAACUUCGGGAAACCGGAGCUAAUACCGGAUAAUAUUUUGAACCGCAUGGUUCAAAAGUGAAAGACGGUCUUGCUGUCACUUAUAGAUGGAUCCGCGCUGCAUUAGCUAGUUGGUAAGGUAACGGCUUACCAAGGCAACGAUGCAUAGCCGACCUGAGAGGGUGAUCGGCCACACUGGAACUGAGACACGGUCCAGACUCCUACGGGAGGCAGCAGUAGGGAAUCUUCCGCAAUGGGCGAAAGCCUGACGGAGCAACGCCGCGUGAGUGAUGAAGGUCUUCGGAUCGUAAAACUCUGUUAUUAGGGAAGAACAUAUGUGUAAGUAACUGUGCACAUCUUGACGGUACCUAAUCAGAAAGCCACGGCUAACUACGUG
rnacentral:rRNA from 1 species